AAUGGUUGCGAUGAGGAUAUAUAGCUCCCUCUUCUGAUUUAAAGUUGAAGAGAUUGGCUGGCAGAAUCGAACCUAUGACUUUAUUAGCCAUCACUGAGUAA
rnacentral:snoRNA from 1 species